UUUUCAUCUUGCUAAAUCCUGCAAUGUUUUUUAAACUUAGGCAUGGAAGAUUGCCUCAAAUAUUGAAUGUCCAGGGUUUCCAAGACCCUCUUUGAUAUGCUGUAGCCACACGUUCCUGGACAGCAAGGAGAAUUUAUAAUUUCUGUUUACAUCUUCGAAUCUCAGCAGAGAGGAGAUGCCCAGCCAGCUCUGCUUGUGGAAUGGAUUCUCAAUGGGCCAGCUCCUGCAUGUUGGUGUGUUGGUGCAUGUCAGACUGCCAUUCAACAAAAGGCAAGACUCUGCCUCCACUCUGGGUAUUCUGG
rnacentral:lncRNA from 1 species